GUCUAUGUAGUGUAGUGGUUUGAGUGUUGGACUACAAAUCUGUAGACCAGGGGUCAAUUCUCAGCUUGGCCA